AGAUUUGGACCAAGCCCUCUGAAGAGAGACCGGGGACCUUCUUUUUCUAGAAUCAUCCUACAAGAAGUCAAGUUGCACAGUUCAGAAACUGAUUAUUCAUCUGAAAAGGUGAAGAUAAUGCUCAGAUGCAGUGACAAAUACUACCCAACCGAGGUACCUCAGAAAGCACUGACCUAGGUCUGCUUGGUGUUAGGCUAUGUUCCUUCUAAGCUGUGCGCGUGUGUGCGCACACACACACAAGCAAACAAACGAAAUUAAUGUGCGCACAAAAGGAUGGUGACAAGAGGGAGUACAGGAGAACAGAGUGGUGUCGCAGCAACAACCUGGCACUCAACAUCAGUAAGAUGAAAGAGCUGAUUGUGGACUUCAGGAAGGGUAAGACAAAGGAACACAUACCAAUCCUCAGAGGAAUCAGAAGUGGACAGAGUGAACAGCUUUAAGUUCCUGGGUGUCAAGAUCUCUGAGGACCUAACUUGGUCCCAACAUAUUGAUGCAGUUAUAAAGAAAGCAAGACAACUA